GACGAACGCUGGCGGCGUGCCUAACACAUGCAAGUCGAACGGGGUAGAGAGCUUCGGUUUUCUACUUAGUGGCGAACGGGUGAGUAACGCGUGAGAAACCUGCCUUUCAGUGGGGGACAACAGUUGGAAACGACUGCUAAUACCGCAUAAUGUAUUCGGGGGGCAUCCCCUGAAUACCAAAGCUUUAUGUGCUGAAAGAUGGUCUCGCGUCUGAUUAGCUAGAUGGCGGGGUAACGGCCCACCAUGGCGACGCUCAGUAGCCGGUCCGAGAGGAUGAACGGCCACACUGGGACUGGGAUACGGCCCAGACUCCUACGGGAGGCAGCAGUGGGGGAUAUUGGGCAAUGGGGGAAACCCUGACCCAGCAACGCCGCGUGAAGGAAGAAGGCCUUCGGGUUGUAAACUUCUUUUAGCAGGGACGAAGAACGUGACGGUACCUGCAGAAAAAGCAACGGCUAACUACGUGCCAGCAGCCGCCGUAACAC
rnacentral:rRNA from 1 species